UAGGGAAUAUUGGACAAUGGGGGCAACCCUGAUCCAGCCAUGCCGCGUGAGUGAAGAAGGCCCUCGGGUUGUAAAGCUCUUUUGUCCGGAAAGAAAAGCAUUCGGUGAAUACCCGGAUGUUCUGACGGUACCGGAAGAAUAAGCACCGGCUAACUUCGUGCCAGCAGCCGCGGUAAUACGAAGGGUGCAAGCGUUACUCGGAAUUACUGGGCGUAAAGCGUGCGUAGGUGGUUGUUUAAGUCUGAUGUGAAAGACCUGGGCUCAACCUGGGAAUGGCAUUGGAAACUGGGCAGCUAGAGUGCGGUAGAGGGUAGUGGAAUUCCCGGUGUAGCAGUGAAAUGCGUAGAGAUCGGGAGGAACAUCUGUGGCGAAGGCGACUGCCUGGACCAGCACUGACACUGAGGCACGAAAGCGUGGGGAGCAAACA
rnacentral:rRNA from 1 species